rnacentral:rRNA from 1 species
UACGUAGGGCGCAAGCGUUGUCCGGAAUUAUUGGGCGUAAAGAGCUCGUAGGCGGCCAGUUGCGUCUGCUGUGAAAUCCCGGGGCUCAACCCCGGGCGUGCAGUGGAUACGGGCUGGCUAGAGGCAGGCAGGGGAGAACGGAAUUCCCGGUGUAGCGGUGAAAUGCGUAGAUAUCAAGUGGAACACCAGUGGCGAAGGCGAGUCUCUGGACAUUUCCUGACGCUGAGGCACGAAAGCCAGGGGAGCAAACGGG